rnacentral:lncRNA from 1 species
GGACACGCGUCCAUUCUUGUGGCGAGAAGCAUGAAAAGUUCGUAGACUUGAAAUGAUACUUCAAAACUCCCUGCCUUUAUAUCAACUUCAGGACUCUCUCUCCCUUCACUACCAUACCUCCCCAUCUCACACCUUAACUCCUCAACUCGCACACAUUUACGAGUUAAUUUUGUAGCAGCAUGGCUGGUUCAAGUGCCAUGCUUGUGCAGCUCACUCUGAUGAUUGCUUUACUCUCAUGUUCAAUGGCUCAAAGUCCAUCGGCAUCACCUACAAUGUCACCAAGUUCAAGCACCACCCCCUCUCCCGUUGCCACUCCACCACCAACCACCAUGACCCCUCCCCCAGCCAUGACUCCAAUGUCAGCACCCGCACCGUCAACCCCUAUGGCUCCUACCCCUUCAACCACUCCAAUGGCCCCAACCCCAUCCUCUGCCCCAGAGGCACCAACCCCACCGGCACCCGCACCUCCAUCUAUGACGCCUAAUUCAGCACCUACAACUCCUCCUUCAGCCAUGACCCCUAGGGAGGGCCCACAAGCUCCUCCUUCAGCCAUGACCCCUGGGGAGGGCCCACCAGGUUCCGCUGCUUCUACACGUGAAUACACCAUGUCCUUGUUAGCAUUGCUUGGAGGAGUUGCACUCUUUGUUUAGGACACUUCUUUUUUUGGUUUCGUUUACUUUGAUGUAGAUUAAGCUAUUUAUUUGUGUAUUCUUUUUUCAUUGUUCCAUUUUCUCUCUCUUCUCGUCUAUUCUUGGAGCUGAUGCUUUCGUGAUUUGUGAGGGCUCUUUUGUAUCAUUUUUACUUAGCUUAAUAAAGAGAGACUUUGUGAUUCUUGUUUGUGUUACUGUAAUCUUUAGUCCAAUUAUUUUCUUCUUUUUUUGACUUCUUUAGAAUUAAAUCAUGUUAGACUAAUUAUUUUGCUGAAAAAAAUGGAGAAAAUAAUACUAGAAAAUAGUGGAAAAAAGGCUGGUUACUUUUAAGGCCAUUCCUUACUCUGAUAUUAACACACACGCACAAAAAAGCUUAGAACUGGGAUUAUUAGUCCUAAUGGACUAUGGUUUUAUUAUUAAUAAAUAAGACAUUGGUUCACAAACUUUCAAUUAGUCUAAUCAAUAUGGAAGUACUUAAAUUGAAUUAUAAGAAUUUAAUCCUCUAAAUAUGAAAAAACAACUUAAAAAAAUAUAUAUAUAUAUACUCAAUGUUGGACAUAUACAUGUAUACCCAACACUACCGGAGUCCGAUCAACAUGGCUAAAAGUAAGAUGAGUGUGGUUGGUUGAAGGGUGGAUAGAAAGAUGGAAUAGGCGCAAGUAAUUGGUGGUGGUGAAUGGGUGAUGCCGAUAAAUAUUGUCAGAGAAAAAGUUAGGUGCUAGCUGUUAUAGACUUUGGGUGGAUGAUGGAAGAGUAAUUAACUUUUGGGGAUAAAAAGGAGAGUUGCCAUUGCCUUUGGGUUCUCUUUUCGACGGAGACCGGAUAAUAUUAAACAUGAUUUAAAGAAAGAAAAAGAAAAAUUAACAUGUAUGCAUGGAUUCCUCAAAAGCUAUAUACAGAUUAUUAUUAAUGAAUCAAAUUUUAUAUAAAUAUAAAACACUUCAAAUAUGAUGAUUAUAUGACAGUACAUGAAGGAUAUUGGAUGCAUGAGUUGGUAGGUCUAAAGGGCGAUGACUUGGGAUAGAAUGGGAGGGAUGUAUGAUUGGCUGUUGUGGGCCUAAAACUCAAAAGACAAAACAAUUGCUAGCAUGAAAGGGAUGUGCACAUGGGGUGCUUGCCUUGCCCUCACCGACAAAUACAUAUUCUUAUAGUCUUAUAACCUAUGUAAACUUCAGAUUAAUUGGAAUUAACUAUCAUGAUAACAGCAUUGGAUACCUAUUAAAGAUGUAACUGUAACAUGUAAUAAAGAAGCAUUGCACUAAAAACAUCUUUAUCUUAUCCUCCUUUUCUUGAUGAAUAGAGAACACGAUCUGUUCCAGUUAAAUCUAGACAGACUCGGUCUGGGUUCUUUCCCGUGAGUCCACAUGUUUAUUGGAACCAUUAUCCCUCUUCACUUGCUAAGAAUACAAAAAUUCACGGACUUGCCAGAAUCAUGAAAAAGAAGCAGCACUCAUUCUUCCGUGGUCUUUGCCUCUUCGGGGAAUCCUGUUUGAGGAAAACAAGAUCAUUUACGAAUAAUUUAACUAAGAAUAGAAGGUUGUAUGAAUUGUGUUGAAACCAUUUUUAUUUUAGAAAAACGGGGAUCGACUUUAAAAAAGAGGUACAGAGUUGGACCCGACCUUUUUUGAGGUGUAAUAGGAUCACCUUAACGUUGAUCAUUUUAAUAAAAUAUUUGAUUUAUUAAAAUAAUAAUUUUAGGUCUACAAAAAUUGAGAAAAAGGGUUCGGGAGUCGGUUAUGCACGAGGAAGGGUUAGCACCCCGUAACGCUCAAAAUUAGUACAAAUUGAUUAUUGAAUGUCCUAUCGUUGAAAAUUUAGGAAAAAAAAUUAAAAUACGAUUCCUUUAAAAAUGUAGGAACAAUUCGAAUUAAAUUUUAAGGUUCACUUGCUCUAAAGAAAUAAUACCACAUCGAGCACGUUAGGACACGAUACUUUAAGCCUCCAAAGACUGAGAUCACCUCAUUAUUUCCAAAACACACAACGAAUUCUUAAAAGGUUACUCCGUUAUUUGGCAAAACUAAAAAAAAAACCCAACACGUUAGGGCACGUUUUCCCGAAUUUCUCAAAUACGAAACAUUGCCUUGUUUUGAAGAGUUUCCCAAAUAAGCAAUUAUGAAAUCGGCUCAAAAUAUUCGUUUGGGUUAUUUUAGGGUGAAAAGCAAUCGAUGUUGGGCAAAAAUGCGGGAUUUUAAAAAAAAUCAUGAUACAAUAAUAAGAAACUAAAACAUAAUUAUAAGCAUAAAACAAUAAUAGGUGGAUACAAAUUGAAAACAAAAAAUAACACAUACACCGGACUACAUGAAAACUAGGAACCAAUAUAACGCAAAACAAAAACCAUAUGAACAAUAUACAAAGGGAUAGCAUAUAUUAGAAUUCAAAAUAGCUUAUAUGUAUAAAAAACGGAUAAUAUAUAAAUGAUUAUUAAAGUAUAUAUUAAAAUGAAUAAUAUGCAACAUAAUUUCAAAUGAAACAAAUUGACUUAACAAAUGACAUACAUAUUUAUAUGAAAAUAAUAAAUGAAAACAAUGUAUAUACAAAGAUACCAAAGUAAUUAAAAUAAAUAAAAUAUGCAAUUUAAAACAAGACCCUCAAAAGAAAGCCAAAUUCUAUAUGAAUAAUUUUAAAGAAAAUAUAUAUAUAAUAAAUUUAGAAGAAAAUAUUUACAUAAAAGGAAGUCAAUAAUGUACACUUAGAGUAAAAAUAACUUUGUAUAAGUUACGUAUAUACAUGAAAUAAAGAAAACUUAAUAUAAGUAAAGUAUAUAAAUACAAAAUAAUAUAUGAAAGUAUUUUUGAAAAAAAAAAAUAUGCACAUGAAAAAAAAUUCUUAUUUUGUUAAAAUAAUAUAUACAAAAAUAUAUACAUCAAUUUUGUUUAACAAAACUAUAUGUUAAAAUAAUAUAUUCUUAUUUUGUAGAAAAAAUGAAUAAAAAACUUAAUUGGAAGAAAAACAAAAUUAAAGGGACAAUUUAUGAACAAAGCAAACCAUUUAAACAGAAUUUUGGGCCAAAGUAAAACGCGCUCCAACGUUUGGGGUCUAAAAAUGAAAAUUAACCAAACCCCAAAACAAAUCGUUUAAGCGAGGACUAAGAUGAACACUCGUGCAAAUUCCUGGGACACUUUAAAAGAUUAAAAGAAACCAUGGAAAUGGCCCUAUCGAACGCUACUGCAAAAGGGAAGGAUUGGCCGCGAAAUUACCCAUUUAAGGUAAAAUGCGUGGACCCUACCUGGCAAAUGGGUCAACACGCUUCCCCCCCCCCCCCAGCCCACAACCCACGCUCCCCAGACGAAUGGCCAAGCUUCAACUGCCCCAAAAUCCGACUAUUGCGAGCGGAGUCAAGCCCUCCGACGACGUGAGCGUGAUGCAACUCUGGUGAGUCUCCCCCUUUCUCUUAUAUCUUAGUAUAUCCGAUGAAAAUGAAAAGAAAAAAAAAACGAAAUCAAAUAGCAAUAACCACCUUUGAAUCUCUCUUGGCUGCUUUUUUUUUAUGUGUAUUUGAUUUUUGAUUUGUAACCAAAAAGAAAUCGUGUCCUAUUUCUCUGAACAAAAAAAAGGAACCCCCCCCCCCCCAAUUUCAAUUAAAAAUCGAAGGCUUUAUAGCCAAAUACAAACGGUUCCUUGCUAUUCUCCAUUUUGCAGGUACGUGGAGACGUGAAGAGGGCGUUCACGGGCGUGUAAACGUGAAAUAUGGGAGGUGGAAGCGUGGGCUGAAGCAAUGGCGCACGUAGAGGCUAGCACGAAGGCAGCAGCAGCGCAAGGGGGAAAGGGAAAAGGCUCUGAAAACUCCAAAAACCUGGGCCUACUGGGCUUGGUUCAUUUCAUUCAGUAUUAGGCCAUUGUAAAACUUUUUUGGGCGUAUUUAAUUUGGGUUUAAUGCAAUAGGUUUGUAUUUUGGGCCGGGCAAAAUAUGAGUUUUACAAAUUGGAUAUAUAUAUUCAUCAGUUUGCACUGUUUCUUGAAAGAAACAGGAAUUUUUCUGAACAUCUAUAUAAAAAAAAUAAAACUUGCAAUUUAGAUAAAAAUAAUCAAACCAAUAAUGGAGUUUUCAUGGAAGUUAUAACAAAGAAUUGCAUCAAGGGGAAAAAAAAGGAUGUCAUUGAAAGAUUACAAUCUACAAAAAUGAGUGAAUUCCUCUGGAUGUUAGUUUAAGUAGCUCUAUCAUCUGUUUGGUAAAAUCAUGUCUAUUGUUUAAUCAGCUCGUUAAGUUGGUCAUCGACGGAUUUGAUUUACUUUGGUAUCCUUCUCCUUUGACUCACACGUCAUGAUGGUUAACACCACUUCUGCAUUAUCAGGUUGGCGUUGCCAGAACUUAAAAUCCUGUUCCAGUCGGAAAUGUUAUCGAAUAAGAACUUUGGUAUAACACUAGUAUGGUUUUUGGUUUACUUAUCAUACUUUGUCAUCAUCUAUUUCUCCUUUGUUUCCUUCGGCAAUAGAAGCAUUCCGAACAUGGAGAUUUAAUUUUACUAGAAUAACUAGCUUGGAGCUUGCUUGGGGGUAUUUUCAGGUCUUCCAUGAGUAUCUGACGAAGCUUCAGAUUCUCCUCCAUAAGCUCCUCGAUGAUUCGUUGAUGUUUCAGCACCUAAAUGGAAAUAUAAGUUUCAGUAAAAAUGUAACGCAAUCCUAAUAAAAUGAGAAGAAUUAAAUGUAUCUCGAGAACCUUGCAGCAUUCAUCAUGAAUAAAUCUUUUUGACACAAAUUUUAAAUAUGGCAACCAAUAAACUCCGAUAUUCAGAAAAUUUUACAUCUAAUUACAAUUGCUUUCGGCUAAUAUUUAUGUCUUCUCCCACUAAAUAAUCAAUAAUCAUCUCAGCGAAAACACCAGCAAACAAAAUGGCAUCAGAUUGGGGUGAUAAAAUAAAUAAGGAGCAUUACCAGUUGAAGUAAGUUGUUUUCAAAGCGCAACCGUCCAGCCUACAAAACAACCAAACCCAAGUGAAUUAUUUCUGCUGCUUACUGCUAUCACCAGUGACCAAAAUAAGAGCAAAAAAAUAACUGCUUGUUGCACGUUAAAGCAUGUUCCUUUUGAAAUCUUAACAUCCCCAACUACUGUUCCAAUUGCUGGAGUGAAAUGAUGUUUCUCUCCCGUUAAGUGUAUAAAAUGAACUGAUCUCACCUCAAGCCUUAUGUUGCACAAAUUUAGCCUACAGGCACCAUAAUAUUUUAUAAAAUUGACAUUCCACAUGCAAACUCAAUGCUGGAAUGCCGAUAAGAGAUAGAAAAACUCUCAAGCAAUGAAUUACAAAGCCAAAUGCACAAGCAUAUAGGUAUCAUUGCAUACCAGUUCACUUAGGCUAGUCUCAUCUUCCUUCAACAAUGGAUUUUGCAAAAAGCUAUUAAGAACUUUUUCUGUUCGAGUCCCAAAUGAUGUUUCAUUUGGAGGUUCUGAUGAAAAUUUUUGAUAAGCUGAACCUCUGCUUGUAUUUCCAGGUCCAGGCAAGCCUUGAGAUGUAGUAUCUGGUAGAUUUGGCAGCACCUGCUUCAAUUUUCCUUGCGGGCCUUGAAUAGAGGGUUCAUUUGUUGUGGUCAAAGCACUUUGAAAGGAUGCAGGAAAAGCACCUUCAUUGAAGGGCAAGUUGGAAGAUAUUCCAAACUUGUUCAUCAAUUUAGUCAUCGUUUGCUAGAAGUUUCAGAUAAAAACUUAGUUACAAAUAAUGCAAAAAGAAGAAGAGGAAAUAUAGAUAUUAUAUAAGAAAUUAUACGUACCAUAACACAACAUUGAAUUUGAUUCACCACCCCAGGCUUCACAGCAAGUCCUGCAAUACAAACAUUUUUUUUUUCAGUCAAAAAAGAUGUAAUUUAUUUUCAUUCAUAUGCUAGACAGAUAAUUAAUAUACAAGAUUAUUUGUACUGUGAGUUUGCAACAGGAAGAUAAAGAUAUCAAUGUCCGUUAAGGCAUAAAGAUAAAAGUACAGCAUAUUUUGACAAUGAUGCCCCUUAUGCAGAUGCUUUAAAUUCAAAAGAAGAUGAAAGACCAAACGAAUUUUCAUGUUGCUACAAAAGACAUGUCUGAGGUUGCUAAAAUCCCCACCACAAUCGGCUAUUUUGCAACAAUCAUAUGAGCAAGUAACGAAACUAAACGACCUGAUCUUGAAAUUUAUCUGAAUCACAUGCUGAUGACACUAACACAUUUGUACAAAGUAUAAAAUGUAGUAACCAACAAGGAAAUCAAGAGAAACUAAUCAGUAGUUUCUCUAAUCUUGAAACAUUUAGGCACACAUAUUGGUAUGCAAUACUUAAUUGAGUAGUCGGACUCAGACUUUGCAAUAAAUGUAUGCGACACCAUACCUAAUACAAGUGCCUCAAUACAGUAAUACUUAUUGAGUUAAUUAUUUUCAAUAUUAUAGCAUACCAAUGCCAAAACCAUGGCCAAGACCGACUCCACAUCCGAUCCCUGCUUCAACGUUCUUAGCACCCAACUUCCUUAACUAAAAACAUGAGAAAGACUAGAUCAGCAGAUAGUGAAAUAUCAAACAAACAAAAUCAACAACAAAAAGAAAAAAACUGAAAAAUGAGUCUGGAAGUUAUAUAUUCGACUUACAGCACCAUUUACAUGUCUGCUAACACCAGAAAACGCAUCAGUUGCUCCUCUAGUUGCACUCAUAACUUCGCCCAGCAUAGGUAUUCGACCUGGUAUAUACCACAAGCAUAAAAUCAUAAUCAGAAACACCAGCCAAACUUAUAUCAGCUAACAAUAACAUAGUGCACUUCAUCAUAGAAGAUGAUCAUCAAUCAUAAAGGUUUUUCCCUACUCCAUUCAUUUCUCGUUCCAAACACUAGCCAUUACCCAAUUUGUUCAACACAACAAAUGAAGAGGAAGUGAUAGAAAAACUGAUAAUACAGAGUUUCUUAUGAAGCAAAUUGGGAUAAACACAAUCAUUCUUGGGACUAAACGAACCACCCCAGUGCAUCCUCACAAUUCAAGGAUUUAGAUUUUUUUUUUUUUUGCAUAAAAAAUGUACUAGAAAAGAAAUGAAUGAGCAGUACCGAGGUUUUUAGGUCGACCCACGCCUAUACCAAUACCGCAACCAACGCCAAAGCCAGUAAAUACUUGACCCACUUUCAAAACAAAUGGAUUCUCCAAUCUGAUUCCUUCAAAGCCCUUUCUUUGAUUGGUUGCUACCACCAUUUUAGUGUCACUGUUUUUGAUAUUACUUUCCAUUACUAAUCUUUAGAAACUCUCUCUUUCUCUUCUUCUUGCAAAGUCCCCAAGAAAACUGUCUCUCAUAUGGGGAAUUUUGACAUGUUCUUUUUUUGUUUGAAGAAGCAAAGGAAUCUGUCUCCUUUACUUCUUCCCGUCUCUCUGCAACUAAAACAUAGGCAUUGGGGGUAGAUAUCUUCUAAAUUGUCUGUUUCUUUGAGUUAAUGGGUGGACUGGAUUUUUGUCUUUCAAUUACAUUUGGGCUAAAAGGCUUUCUAAGAAUGGGCCUACCUCCUUUUACGUAGUGAAUUGUGGGUUUGCUUUUAAACUCUUGAGCCAACUGUGAUCAAACUUCGACUCAGUUAAAAAAUUGGGCGUUUUAUCUAAAUAUGUCCUUUAAAUAAUAUAAUUAUCGAAAUGGGUCGUUUUUUGUGUUAUUUACUGGACUAGGCUGUUUCCCACGAAAACGCGUCCACGUAAGCGCGAUUUCGUAGUACGUGUCAGCAAAAAAGCCUCCUUGAGGGCGCACUUUGUUGAAGUGGACAAAGUGCUCCCCCAGGAGAGCGUUUUGCCCGUGUAACGGUCAAAUUUUUGACCGUUGGCUUCCAACGGUCCAAAAAAAAAACCUAUAAACCCUCCAAAUCAUUUUUUCACACAAAUCUCUCAAAUUUCUAUAAUUCUCUCAAAAUUCCUUUCCCUUUAAUUAUUUUUCACACAAUUCUCUCAUAAUUCUCAACAUUCUUUCAAUAUUCCCUUAAAAAAUCUAUCAAAUUUCAUUAAAAUUUUCUCAAAAUUCUAUCAAAUUUCUUUCAAAAUUCUGUUUAAAUUUUUUUUGAAUUUAAAUUAAAAAAAUCUGAUCGUGUUAGCAAUGGCCGGAGAGUUAAUCCGUCUCGAUAAUAAGCACAUCUCCGUUGAUCAAAUGACAAUGGUAAGUGAUAAUUUUAAAUUUUCAAUACUAUUAGAUAUUAUUUUAAUUUAUGCAAAUUUAAUUAAAUUUGAAAUACUAUUUGAUAUUUUAUUACUGCUUGAUUUUUUAUUUCAUUUAUGAUGCUUGAUUUUUUAUUUCAUUUAUGAUGUUUGCAUUAAUUAAUUUAUGCAAUUUUAAUUAAUUUUUGUUUGAUAAAUUUUUAUAAUAGUCUGUAGAUCAGGUGUUGUAAUGCUACAUCCGUAAUAUGUUUGGUCCUCCAUCGCCAUUGAUUGAGAAUUACUUGCGAGAAGCGGGAUUUUGGCACGUGGCCACGAUAGGCCGGGGGUGCAAGUUGGACCCGAAACUAAUCAGUGCAUUGAUAGAGAGGUAGAGACCUAAGACGCGGACUUUUCAUCUUCCAUGCGGAGAGUGUACUAUCAUUCUGGAAGACGUGCAUUUGCAAUUAGGAUUGCCGGUGGAUGGGUACGCAGUCACCGGGUCUGCAUCAUCUACUGAUUGGGGAGCCAUAUGCUACGAGCUUUUGGGUGCUAUACCUGAUAAAAUUAACUGAGGUCGGAUCGAGAUGGGAUGGUUACGAGACACAUUCCCGGAGCCGGAUAAUGAUUCGACUGAACUCGAAAGAAUACGAUAUGCUCGGGCAUAUAUUCUUGAGAUGAUUGGAGGUUAUUUGAUGUCGGACUUGUCAAGAAACCUCGUACAUCUGAGAUGGCUGCUGAAACUUGUAAAUUUUAGAGCAGCCGGCGAAUUGAGUUGGGGGUCUGUCGUGUUGACAACAUUGUACAAGGAAAUGUGUGGGGCGACGCGACCGAACAAAGCCAAAAUAGGAGGUUGCCUAUCACUACUGCAAUCAUGGGCACGAUUUCGCUUUCCAUUCUUAUGUCCUCGAGUCGACCACCCAUAUACAUUUCCACUCAUAACGAGGUAAUUUUUAUAUUAAAUUUUACAAUUAUUACGUAGAUUUAGAAUAUAAUUUUAUGCUAAAAAUUAAUUUAAUUAGGUGGAACCAUUCGACGAGUUAUGUCGGAAUACCUACCUCUCUCGAAGAUAUAUGACUUCUAUUAGACCAACGAUCGGAAGUAGAAGUAAGUAUUAAAUAAAAUAUAUAUACAUAAUAAAAUAGUCGUUUCGUAUUUAGUAUUAUGUAUUAUGUAUAUAAGUAAUAUUUUUAUCAUGUUCAUAUAGUUUCAAUGGACAGCAUACGAGGAUCCGGCAAUUCGGGCAGUAAUUCUGGAUGAAUUCUUUCAAAAUCCAAACGUUUGGCAUGUGAAGGUCCCAUUGGUGAACUAUGCCACCGUGGAGAUGCACCAGUCAGAUAGAGUAUUGUGGUAAUUUGGAUUCCGACAACCAAUUCCCGUGGCACCUGAGGUGUUUGAUGACGAGCACAAAGUUGACUUACGGCAACUCCAUACGGAUUGGCCUAGAUUCUGGUCACACUAUAUCGAAAUGUGGGAAAAUCGGUAUGAUUAUAUACCUACUCGGGAACCGAUCAUUGUUCUAGAGUUAGCGUGCGUAGCGGAAUACAUGUCAUGGUUUAGGAUCCAUGACAACCCAUAUUUAUUGUCGGAAGAGGAGAGGCGACAACAAAUUCGUGCUUAAAGGGAACGACGGGGCCCUUUAAAUCUAAGAAGAAGGGACGACGACGCAGGCCGAUCAACAGCACCCACACAAUCAUCAGGCCCAACAAUUCAGCGGACGACACCCACAUCACAGCCUUUUCAGAUUAUGCCAUGUGCAUAUCCUAGCCCUUAUAUGUAUCCUAACCCUUAUAUGUUUCCUUUUCCUAGUCCUAUGGCAGGUUGGAAUCUAUAGCCCGUAUCAUCUCCGUUCUUGAUUACUACGAGUCGACCUCCAAUCUAUAGGCUGCCUUCGCAUAAAGGAUCACACGAGGCACCAUCGGGGAGCUCUUCUUUUUACCAAUCUCCACUACCUUACGGGAUUCAAACACCUCCGCCAUGGGUGACUCAAACACCACCGCAAUCAUUAUUCUAUCAAGGUGGUUCAUCCUCCCAACAGCCACAACCAGAUCUCUUGCCGGAGGAACCACAACCCUGGCCGGAAGCUGAUCGAAGGAGGAAUCCACCACGGACCCGUCGACGACCUCCAUGUGGCAUUGAUUCUGACCACCACGAACAUUGAUUUUUUAAAUAUAUUUGUACAAAAUUUUUUAUAUUGUUUCAUUUAAUAAAAAUAAAAGUUCUUUUGAAUAAGACAAUUGUAAUAUAACAUAGUUUCAUUUAAUGAAAUAUAAAUAAUACAACAUAGUUUUUUACGACAACUAUCAACUAUUUCAAUUUGGACAUGAUCUACUUGUACGGCCUGGGUUCCUACACCAUCCGCACAACUUCUGAUUAUUGGUUGUUUCUCGGAUAUCCAUAUUGGUACGUAUUCUAGUCGAGUAAGGUCGGCCUUUCGGUUUGCGACGCAAUUCUCUAUCCGGUAGCAGCUUAAAUGGAGAAAACGAUACAAACGACCAGUUACGUUCAUCUGGGACAGGUGGAAAUACGUGUUCCACACGUUGUACAUGGUUUCUAGUUUGUACACUUCGUCGACGUAGCUUAUGGGAUCUAGACGGAGAUUCUAACAAGCUGCAAUUACAUGAGCGCAUGGAUAAUGAAGUGCGUCAAACCUCCCACAGUCACAAGUCCUAUUUCUCAAGUGUACACGAUAUUGCCUGCCAAUAAUACCUUCGUGCGGUCUGUCAAACUCAGUCACACGAAACCAUAGGUUGUCUCGGUCAUGACAGACUGUGUGUAUGGUGUUCGCCCAUGCUUUCGCCUUGUUAAUUUCUUGCAAUACCUUUGCGCACCAUACAUGGCCUCCUUGCAUUUGGCCUUUAUAACUCGCUGCUCGCUUCAGAAAUAGUACCGCUAAACUAAAAUAUGUCUCUCUAGCAACCGAUGUUAUCGGCAAAUGACAUGUUCCUUUUAGAACAGAAUUUAUGACCAUAUCAUAGGCCACCGUUGUAUGCUUGUGUCCACUGUUCGAAAGAUAUGUUACAGAGGUAGUCUACGCCUUCUUCGUUAACUGAACGCAAAACCUCUAAUAUCUCAUGAAAACGGUCCUUACUUAUAUCAUACCCUGCCAAUAUAAGUUGAUAGCAAAAAUUACAUACCACUUUUCCAUUUAAAAUAAAUUCAAUAUUACAAACGAAAUUACAUUAAUAGAUAUUAAAUACCCAUAUUGGUCACUUGUCGUUUUUCACUUAUAAAUCGAAAUUGCCCGUAGUAGUUGGACGCAAUGUGCCUUAGGCAAUACCGAUAGUGUGUGCGAUGCCAUAGGCUUCCCUAUUACUCAAUUGCGGCUAGUAUUCUGAUGCCUCAAUCCGAUAUGACGCAGAUAUUAGGUUGGGGGCAGACAUGCCUCCUUAACCUAUAAAGCAAGAACUCCCUGUAACACCCCAAACCCGACCCAGAUGUUAUGGCCGGAUCCGACAUGCCACAUUAAAAUGUUCAAAAUAUUUCAGGUUGUUGUUCUAGAAAAACUUACUUAGUGGUUUAAGAGAUAAUUUCAAUGCAGGUUAAGGUGAAUGGAAGCUGAGCACCAGGUAGGAAACCGGAAAGGAGGAGGUGAGUCUAUCGGAUUGCUUAAGCACCAAGCUCCCUUCGAAUCCAAUCCUAGACAUGCACACCGCUAUUGCCACACCUUAACGUCAUGUAUAUUUCCAGAAAACCAAUUUGAUUAAGUCCUUUUUAGGAAAAGUGAUUAAUUUUGGAAAAUAUUUUCAUUGCAGAAGCUUUACUUGUUGUCGUGUAUUUUUGAAAUCAAUUGUUGUUUUUAAAAACGCGCCCUAAAAGUUAUUCAAUUUUGACAGUUAAAUAUAAGUAAUACCUAUCUUAAUUAAACAUAUUAAAACCAUAAAAAUAAUUAAGCGGCCUUAUUACAAUUAAAGAACCCAAAACCUUAAACGUAAAUAAAAAGGAUGUCCAGGUCACUAGUAGAAAAUUAACUUGCAGAACGUGUGGCCACUCCGAAUCUCUCACAGCUCCAAGCCCACUAUGGUUGGGGAUUACCUGUGUGGAUGAAAAUAAAGGGGUGAGUUUGGGGAAACUCAGUGUGUAAAUUAACCCAACCAUAGCCUAUAUCGGUUCAAACCACAGAGAACAGAUUAAGUUGGCCUUAGCCCAGAACAAAAGUCAGAAUAGAGCCCAUAGACCCAGAACAGAACAUGACAGAUAUCACAUGGUUAUGCAAAACCCAACCCAUAUCCAACCACAUGCACUCCCAUACCAACCUUCCACCAUGUGGAGAGACUACUCGACCCACCCAAUAGCUACACGCUACAAAAAUAUGCAGCAUGACUGCCAGAACAGAUAAUGUGACAGAGUCACCAGAUACAGAUAAUCGUGGUAGAGUCACCAGAACAGAUAUAUGUGACAGAGUCACCAGAUCAGAUAAUUGUGGCAUAGCCACCAGGACGCUUCCUCCAUAAUAUAACCCAUAUCCCCAUGCAGCAGAUAUACAAUCAUGGUAUACAUCAUACAGAAUUAAAUCAUCAUGCUUUUCAGUCAAAAGUAAUUCCUAGGGGUAUAAUGGUAAUUUUGUACCUAGGGGUAUAUUAGUAAUUUCCAUACAUAGGGGUAUUCAAGUAAUUUAUCUAUUCAUAAGGUUUCCAUGCAUAACAUAGCCAUUUACGUACGACCAGAAACACUUACCGCGUUUUCUUACCGAAUUGGGCCCGUUGGCCCACUAUCCCGAUUUUGGCCCAUUAAGCCAAAAAACACCGAAAUGCAAGGAAUCGUGCACUUUGCAAACUUAUCAUUUUAAUUUACCACAUACAUCAAACUAUUAAUCUCACGAGCAUUCGCACACUCGCAUGUUUUCAAAAUACCGACUUUUUGGCAUUUCGGCUUUUCAGCUUUUACCGAUCUAGUCUAUGAGAUGAUGUCAGUUACACACCUGAUUUAUGACGAUACAUUGGCGAGAUCCACCUACGAACUGCCUACAAUUGGAUUACUAACAUGUCAAUCUAUAUAUCAAAAACAACUAUGUAUUUUAACCCAUUACCAUAUUCGGUUAGCACAACCUUAGAUCCCAGAGUUCCUUACCUUUUGCCGAAAUAUGGGUUAGAUAUGGAGAGCCAACUGAAUAAGUUCUCAAGCCCUUUGCUGUAUAUCCCCUUGGCCACGCUACCGUUUACACAACCAACAGAAAAACGCAAAUCCCUUAGUCCAAUAACGCUAGCCACCCUAAGGGUUUCGACUUUUCCUUUCUAAAUACAAUGAGACUAAUGAUAGUUGUUCGAAAGGCUUACCUAACAUCAAUCGGCUCAGAAGAAUGUUCCUAUCUACGAUUCUUUUAUCUCCAAUCCACCGCAGUCACAAGAAGAAGCAGAUUCAAACAACCAAAGAUUCGGCCUCCUUCACCUCCGGUAUGUAGGUUUUCUGUUUUUAGAGAAGUAAGAGCAGAAAAGUUCGGCUACCACAAGAUUCGACUAUUGAGGAAAAUUGAAGAUGGAAAAAUAAAGGAUGAGAUAGAGGAAGAAGGGUAUAGGUUCGGUUAUGGAAAAGAAAAGAUGGAAGAAGAAGGAAAAAGAUGAGAGGUAGUAUUCGGCUAUGGAGAAAACGGCACAAUGAGGGGUUCCAAGUUUGGCUAUGGGAAGAAAAAGGGAACAGAUGACCGAAAGAAAGAGAAGAAGAUGAGAGAAUUCGGUUCUUGAAGAGGAGGAGUCGGCAGGUGUAGGGUAUAAGUUCGGCUUCUAUCAAAAACAAAAAACAAAAAAAAUUCGACAGCCACCCUUCCCAAAAGCCAAAAUUCCCAACACUAAAUGACCUACCCGAAUUUCCUAUGCUAGAUGCCCUUGGCUGACCAUCUCUUGCUCCUUGAUCAGCUCCUAAAUCUUCUCCCCUUAUCAGCUCCUAAAUCUUCUCUCUUAUCCCCUCCUUACUCAAUCACCUGAGCAACUCAAACUCCUCCUGACAGUCUUUUACUUGAGUUCCAUUGCUUACCCUUCCUAAACAUAAAAAUAAUAAUUCCCUUAAUAUGCUGUCAUUGUGACUUGAACCUCAGCUCUCCCUAGCAUCCACACGCCACUUUUAUAGCCUUCCCAGUGGCGUCACAUGCCACUUUGCCACCUGCUUCCUUGUGUUUUAUUUUACCCAAUUAAUACUUAAAAGCCCAAUUAACCAGAACCCCUUUUUCUUAUGGAACUAAAAUUAACUAAAGUUACCGAGUUUUAACUUAAGCUUGGGUCUUCUAGAGGCCCACUAACAUAAUUAACCUACACCAAACAGACAAAACACAGCAAUUUUAAAAAUCAUUGAAAAUCACAGAAAUCCCGAAAAUCCUGAAAAUUGGGGCGUUACACUCCCAAUCAUCAGCUGACUCCCCCGGUGUUAUUGCAAACGCAACUGGAAGGAUUCUCCCACUACCAUUCUGUGUCACAGCUACCAAUAGCCGAUGGGUAUAUCUACUGUACAUAAAGGUACCGUCAAUUUGUACUAAUGGCUUGCAAUAUAAAAAUGCAUCUUGGCAUUACUUAAAGGUCCAUAACAGACAUUUAAAUACUUGGCAUCCAUGGAGCAAUCGGUCGUUGUAGUACGCAGGUUCGGUUUCAAGGUUUGUUACGCAACCUGGGACAUAUCUCUCCAGCACCUGACACCACUGCCACACUUUAUUAUAUGAAGCGUCCCACCCACCAUGAAUCUUUUCCAACGCCUUCUGCUUAGCUAUCCAAGCCUUGUGGUAAGAGGGUGUGUACCUUAACUGGCUACGAAUAUUGGCAAUUAAGAUCGACACUGAAAUUUUGGGAUCAGCCUUCACUGUCGGUAGUAUUAAGGUAGCUAACAUAUCUGAAUUCAUCUUGGGAUGAUCUUCUGAAACACCUGUCAACGAAGUACGUUAAAAAAUGCAACAGUACAUAAUAACAGUACCAUUAAAAAAAUCUAAACGGUUAGUGAUACUGUACUGGCAGCACAUGUAUGUGGACCUUUGUACUUUUUUAUCUCCCACAAGCCUGUCUUUUUCCUUAACGAGGCUAUGACUUUCCAUGAAGAUGUACUGUCUUGCACUGCACACUUGGCCUCAAACUUAUUGGAUUUGGAUUUAACCACGUUGUAGUUAACCCCGUUCAUGAUGCUAUGUUAUUUUAAUUUACCAAGAAAAAUAUCUUUAUUGGAAAACUCCUUACCAACUUUUAAUUCACCUGAAUCCAAUGAGGAACUUGUACGGUCACGCCUUCUGUGUGGUAGAUCUGAAAACCCCAACGCAUCAUCUUCAGAUAGAUCAACAUUAUGCAUAUGGGCUGGAGGCGAGUAUGCCUUGAAUCGUGGAUCUUCUUCUUCAUUAUUUGAACCCCAUUCAACAUCUUCAAGUAUGUUUGGAACAGGCUCUGGUUUAGAAAAUAAUGCAACUUCUGCACCAUCGGGGUCGGCCUCUCGAGGUGGAUCCGCAUCGGACUCAUUAUCUGACCCAUCAUCAUGUGCAACGUAAAAGGUCCCCUCGCCGGUGGACGUCGUAGGGAGUACAUCAUCCCUCCUUAUGGACGUUUCACAACGUCUCCAAUCAGAUGUGGAUUGCCAACCACUAUUAAUUGAUGUCAUUCCCCAGUACGUAUUUCCAGCAUCAAACAUUGACCAACUGAGGUGCAUGUCUCAUCCACUAACGGAGUGUAAUGCAGGGGUUGAGUAUUCUAUACUGCUACUAAACAUGGGCACUUCCGUGUUUUGCCACCCACUAACGGAGUGUCAGGCAGUGGUCGUAUUUUCCUCUCGACCAGCAGCAAAUGUUGAAGCUGUAAAUGCAUCAUUUGGCGAUGAAAAUUGUACAUGUAACUUAAGAUAGGGUGAUCCACUAGCGAGAUGAGUCCGCACCAUUGCCUCUAAGCUACGAGCGCCUUUGAUGUCAAAUGAAUCAUAUGUCACAGAAUCAACUGAAGCAUAAAAUCGGUAUUUAAUAGACAAAACUUUCAUUGACGUUGUUUCGAAGAUUUUACGCCUAAUUCUUUUACGAAGUUCUGUCAAAUCUAUGUUCUGGUUAAAAACCAGUCUCGCUGAGUUCUCCGAUAAAAAAACAACACCGUUCUCGGUGUUACAGACCUCACCAUCAUAGUAAAUAACAGCACUAAUACGUUCACUCAUCUUCAAUUUCUUUUCUUCUUAGCCUCUCUAAUUUUUUUGUUGUAAGUUAUGCAACCUGAGAAUAAAAUUUGGCUAAUUUAUAACCUUAUUUUUCUACGAACUACUGUAGCAAAAGAGCAUCCACGUGGGAGCUUUUUUCAGAAAUUUUGUUAACAGUGCAUCCUGCUUGAAGCGUUUUCGGCACUAUUUGUUCAGAAACGUCUACUCAGAAUUAUUUUUGCACGAACUACUAUAGCAAAAGAGCGUCCACGUGGGAGCUUUUUCCAGAAAUUUUGCUGACAGUGCAUCCUGCUUGAAGCGUUUUCGGCACUAUUUGUUAGCGUCCAUGUGAGAGUUUUUUCCAGAAAUUUUGCUGACAGUGCAUCCUGUUUGAAGCGUUUUUCGACACUAUUUUUCCAGAAACGUCUGCUCAGAAUUAUUCUUGCAGAAAUCCAAAACCUUAAAACUUAUGACAAAAAAAUUUAUAUUGCUUAUAUGUUUUUUCUAAUACCUUAAACACAACUUUAUUUUAAAAAACUAAGCCCUAAUCCCUAAUUUAAUGAAUUAACCCUAAUACACUUUAAUUUAGUAUUUAGUAUUUAAAAUUAAUAGUUAAUUUAAUGAAUUAACCCUAAAACCCUAAAUCCUAAUUCAAUUAAUUUUUUCUCGAAACCCUCAACUUAGCACAGCGCAGUAUGUAUAUAUGCUGCAAUCAUAUUAUCUUUGAGAAAUUUUUUUCUUGUAUGUAUCAAUUAACCUUAAAUUUAAUCAAUUAACCCUAAACCCUAAAUCAAUCCAUAAUUUAAUCAAUUAACCCUAAUACCCUAAACUCUAAUUUAAUAUUUUGUAUUUAAAAUUAAUAGUUAAUUUAUAUCCCAAUUCAAUUAUUUUUUUUUCUAAAACCUUAAAUCCUUAAACCUUUACAAAACCCUAACCCUAACCUUAAAAACCAUAACCCUAAAUCAAUUAAAUAAAAAACCCUAACCCUAAAAAAAGGGCAAAACGCUCCCCUGGGGGAGCGUUUUGCUGACACGUACUACGAAAUCGAGCUUACGUGGACGCGCUUUCGUGGGAAACGGCCUAGUCUAGUAAAUAAUGCAAAAAAUGGCCCAUUUCGGUAAUUAUAUUAUUUAAAGGGCAUAUAUGAGUAAAACGCCCUAAAAAAUUAUUAAUUUAUAAAAUAACAAGUAUUAUUAUGAAGGUAUUUUAUUAUUUUAUAUAAAAUUAAUAAAAAUAAAAGCACACUUAUAAUCAUAUUUGCUACUUUUUAAAUAGAAAAAUUUUUUAGUCAAUUUUUUCAAUUAAGUUAAUGUCUAGUUAAUUUGUGACAUUAAUUUAGCUCAAAAUUUAAAUUAUAUAUAUAUAUAUAUAUAUAAAAGAAGAGGUUGGGAGUAAGGGUUGUCUAGGGAUUGAAUUCAAAAUUGAUGGUGAUUGAUGUUGAUAACAAAUUCUCUCUAUUCAUGAUUCAAUUAACAAAACUGAACUUAUAUUUGAAAUUAGAAUUUUGAUUGAUUAAACUAGUUUACCUAACUAUAUAUAACUAUAUAUAACGGGGUUGAUUGAAUUAGUGUUACAAUUUGACGAAAUUACUUGAAAAAUAUUUUUAAAUGAAGUAUUGAAGAUUAAUAUGAGGGUUUUUUAUCUUUUAUUUUUAUACGAAAUGUUUAAAUAAAACAAUUAAAAAUAUAUUUAAUUUACCAAUUAUUAAAUAAUUUUUUUAAAAAUAUUUAAAAAAUUUUCAUGAUGCUUUCUUUAUAACUUUAUUUAUAAUUCAAUUAUUAAAUAGUUUUAAAAAAAGAAUAUUUUAAUAUUUAAUUAUUAUUCAUUAAUUUAUUUUUUAAUUAUGUUUGCACCUGGCAUGUUAAGUUUGUUAUAUAUCAAAUUAGAUUAGUUAUCAAUAUUACAUUAGCAUAAAUUAAUAGUAUUAUGCAGAAAUUUUAACAUGUGUAACGAAAUAAAAGUUGAUACGAAUUAAAUCUCAAAAAAAAUUAAAUGUGAACCUAAAUUAUAAUUUAUUAACCGAUUGUUCACCUUUUUCAAAAAUAAUUAAUUAAGUAGCUGAGAUUAGUUUAAGGUAGAAACUAUAGAUUAAGCGGCAGAAUUUAGGGAUUCUUCUUCAUUCGAUGUUUUUAUUUCUUAAUUAUUGUAGCAGAUAAUUGUCUAACAAGUUUAAUUAUAUAUAUAAAAGGACACUCUAAUUUCGUAUACUUUGAAAGCGUGCACGCACAAAUAAAUAAGGUAUAGCGAGUAAUUUGUUACACAAAGGAUUAUAGGGUAAAACCCCCCUCAAACUAUUGUAUAAUGUUCAAAUAAACUCCUAUAUUUAUUUUGAUUUUUACUCCUUAAUUUCAUCUUUUCUUUAAAAAAUAUUUAAUUAAAAUUAAAAGUCUAUUUAUCUGCAAAAUAAGCAUAAAAUAUUGUUUAAAUAUGAGUGUGUUAACUUUACAAAUAUCAUUAUUUUAAUGCCUAACGUCAUCCAUAUCUAUAUAACUAUAUAUAAAAGAAAGGUUGUCAUACCCAAACCAUGCUCCCAAGUCUCUCUCUUUUUCUUUUAUUGCAUUUUAUCAAAAUGGUUCAAUUUCAACUUUGGUGUUUUUAAUAUGUUUAAAUUUAAAAUUUAACUUUUAAUAUAAAUUGGUCUCUAUAUUAUUAAUUAGUCUACAUGAUUAAUAUUGUUAAUUUUUGAUUAAAACAUUACGUGAUUUUAUAUUAUUUAAAUAUUCUAAGAGUCUUAGAGACUAACAUGUGGUUUUGUACUCUUUUGAAGUUUACGUGGCUCUUACCAUUUCUUUUUGCGAUUGCAUAAAACAAAUUAAAUUUUAAUUAUGCUUAAUUUUGAGAUUUAAUUGCUACACAUUAAUUUCUAAUGUAAUUUGGUUAUUUCAUUUUUUAUAAUGUUAUUAAUUAGUUCGAAUAGGUAAUAUUUUUAUUUUUUUAUUAAAAUAUCACAUGGGUAUAUAUAGUUUGAAUGCCCUAGGAAUUUUAAAAACAUAUAUAUAUAUAUAGCUUUUUAUUUCUUUUAGGUUUACCUUGAUGCUUUUAUUUUUUUAAUAUUAUAAGAUAAUGAUCAAAUUUUAGUUUUAACCUUAUACUACAUUGAAACUUGGGAUUUAAUCUAUAUAUUUUAUUUUUUGACAUAAUUUGAUAUUUAUACUUUUAUAAUGCUAUUAGUUAGUCUAAAUAUUUAAUAUUGUUAACUAUUUUAAUCAAAAUGUCAGAAGUCUAUUUUUCUUAAUAACAAUAUUCUAACAAAUAAAGUUUAUUUUAUCAUGACAAGUUCAAAUUAAUAUUUUUCAAUCCAUAUAAGCAUUUUCAAUAUAAUUUUUUUAUUGUUACAUAAUUAUCAAGUAAUUUUUUUUAAAUUUUAUAAUGUCACAUCAAUGAAUUCAAUAAAAAAAAUUUAACAAUUGAAUAUAAUUUUUUAAAUUAAAAAAUUAGAGGGUCUAAAAUUUUGAAACUAAAAAUAAGAUUAAACUUUAAAAUUGUAAUCCAUAAUAACCCAACGUAAAACAAGAGAAUGCUAUUAAUAUUUAAUCAAUUCAAUCUCAUAAAUUUGGCUACCAAUUUUUAUUGGCCAUCUGUCUAUCAAUAAGGCAAGUUGGUGGGAAAUUAAAUUGCACAUGAUUUAUGAAGAAUGAAGAAAAUGGAAAAACACUCCUAACAUGCACUAAAGUUUUACGUCUAAAGGGUUUAAAAACUAAGCAUAAUAAAAUUUCACCCUUCAACUUUAUAAAAAAAUUAUUUUAAUUUUUUAUUUAAUUUUUCAUCUUUUUUAUCUUUAAACUUAUAUUUUUGUUAAAUCACCCCAAAAUGGAUAGAAAAAUUAACAUUUGUUAAUUUUAAUGAUGUGACAUACAUGUGGAUAACAUGUCAGCAUAAAAAUUUAAAAUAUUUAAAAAUACUUUUUAAUAAUUUUUUACACUUUUUAAAAUAAGUUUAAAAUAAUUAAAUAUUGACAUGUCAUUCGCAAGAUAAUCCACGUGUAUGUCACAUCAGUAAAGUAAAAAAAAUUAACUUUUCCAUUCAUUUUUGGGUGAUUUAACAAAAAAAUGCAAGUUUAAUGGCUAAAAGAGACAAAAUUUAAAUGGAGGACUAAAAUGACUUUUUUUAUAAAGUUGGAAGAUCAAAUAAGUCAUUAUACCUAAAAACUAAGGUAUUCUAGUUUUUGUUUUAAUACUAAUAUAUAUUGAUAUAAAAAUAUUUUAAUGUUUAUCGAUAUUCUUAUUUAUAUAUUUUUUAAUUUUUAAUAAAUUAUAUAUUAUAUUUACAUGUAAAAAUAUCCUAAUUAUUACGUAUUACAUCUAUGUACAUAUAUUUAUAUGUAAAUAUAAAUAUUAAAAUUAUUAAUUAAUUUCAACAAUUUAAUUUUGAACUGUUAUCAAAUAUCCGAUUAACAUGGAUUCAAAUCUUGUGACCCUAUCUUUACCUCUCAUAUUAUAUAAAAAUUUUAAUAACAUAAUUUAAUAAUUAUAUAUUAACUUUAAGGGAAUAACUUAUAUUAGGAUUAUAUUAAAAUAUAUAGUUUUUAGGUAUCAAUAAAAUAGUACCACAUUAUCAAUUUUUAAAGACAAUACGAAUAUUAUUGUACACCUAUUCAUAUAUGAUAUAUUUUUUUUUAAACUUAAUUUAACUUUAAUUAAAUUAUUUAAAAAAAUAUUUUUUAUUAAAUAAACAAACAUGCUUCUUCUUUUUUUAUCUUAUAAUAUUUUAAUUAUUUUUAGUUUUUUUAAUUUAAUUGUCUUUUAUUCUUGUGUGGGCAGCCAAUCUUUUUAUUUUCUCUUUUCAUUUUUAAUUUUCUAUUUAAAAUUUAAAUUAAAUACCAAAAACUUGAUAAAUGAUUAUAAUUUUUCAAUUUCCAAUUUUUUGAUAAAUGGUUAUAAUUUCUCAAUUUUUUGUCAAAGGUUUUCUUUUUUUCUUUUUUCUUUUUACAUUAAAAUUUCCGCUUAAGAUUUUCACCUUUUUUUUUAAAAUUUUUUUAUCUAUUGAUUUCAGCAUUUUUAAUUUCCAAUUAUUUUGUUUAUGUUCUUUUUGUUGCAUAUUAAUUGUAAGGUGUUUGUUUAUAUAUAUAUAUAUAUAAAUAAUAUAUAAAUGAUUAAUUUUAACUAACUCAAUUAAAAUUAUUAAAAAAAUUAAUUUAAUUAAAGUUAAAUUAAAUUAAAAAAGAUAUCAUAUACGGAUGAGUGUAUAAUAAUAUAUACAUCUUUAAAAAUUGAUGAUGUGAUUAGUGCCUAAAAAUUAUAUAUUUUAGAAUAAUCCUGAAUAAAUUAUUCAAUGUAUUUUUUAAACUAUUUAAAAUAAAAAAAUUUAAAUAUUUACACUUAUGAGUACGAUAUUUACCAACAAAAUCAAAAUGGUUUGGAUUGGUACCGUGGCGGGCGGUAGUAGGCAACUACGUUAAAGACAACAAGGCGAUAUUUUCUUUCAUUAUUAAUUUCGUAAAGCUAUCGUUAUAACAACUUCAUUUAGCCACCACAUUAGGACACCAUUAAGGUUAUCUUUUGGUUGAGAUUCUGAUCCUCUCAGGCGCAUCAUAUGUUCGAAAGAAGGAGCAUGUUGAUGUCAACAUUAACAAAGAAAGAACAAGGGUUUAAUUUUGUCUCUAAUCCCUGUAUUCUUUAGAUUUUUGAAAGUCUUCCUACUUUUAAUUUUAAGUUAGUAAAUUCAAAUCAAAGGAAUAAAGAGAUUAAAUUUGUUGAAAAUAAAAACAAACACAUUAAAUUUUAAAGGUUUAAACAACACAGGGAGAACAAGCUUGGCAAUGCCAAAAGAUUAAAUGACAAAUAAAAGGAAAAAUUAUUAGCAUUUCCCUUUUUCUUUUUAUAGCAUUUUCAAUUCAAGCUGAUAGUUUAAUGGCCCCUCUACUUGCUAGGAAUUGUGACAAUGAUAUUCACAGUGUAUUUAUCUUCCUGAGGCGAAGGAAUAACAAUGACAAGCCCACCCAACGUCGAUCUAAGCCAAUACGAAACAUGCGCAGGUUUAUUCCCAUCUCCAAAACUAACUUCAUUAGCCCCCAAAUCAUCCCAUUUUGCACGAUUCAAGACUCCCAUCUCUGCUUCUUUCGACAUCCCUUGCUUUGAGCAGCUUUCAACUUUGAUGGACUCAAACGAUUCGUUCACAAACAAGGAAAAUUCUCCUCCCACAACACUUCCUAGGUUGCUCUCGGCUUCCUCCAGACAGGCUAAUGCCGUUUUCCUGCACCAGUCACUCCCUGGACUUUCAGUUUCAGCAUGGAUCUGGAAAAUCAUGGUUUUGGCUGAGUUUUUGCUUGAAUUUGAGGUGAUGAUGUUAAGGGAGGCACCAUUGGUGUUUUUCAGACCAGGAAGGUAGAAUAAAGGAAGCUUUUGUUCAUCGUUUUUGUUGAUAAUAACCUUGUUGUGAAUAUCUGCCCAUGUCUUAAGGAACUCUUUCAUUAACAAAAGAUCUGCUAGAAGAAUACUGCAGCUAAUCCCAAUUGAAUAUCCACCACACUGGAAAUUAGUAACCUGUAAAAAAAAUAAAUUCAGGGUCACUAAAAUCUCAUCAAUAGACAGUUUUGUUUUUGUUUUUUGGGGAUACCUGAACAUAAAAGAGGGGGAAGAACUGUGGGUUUUGUUCAUCAAUAUCUUUCCAGAAAACAAGCUGAGCUUCAGCAUCUUCCCUCUGUUUCAAAUCAAGAAAAUCCGACAAAUUCAUCUGAAUCCUUGCCUCAAUGAGUCUAAUGCCGCAAUCAUUGGAAACAAUCUCCAAUUCUCCAUCGUUUCGUUCCCCUUUCCGAAGACGACCAGAAAUCAUUGGUUGCUCAUGUAAAGCUCUCCCAAGUGUUUCCUUGAUCCACCCAGCCAAUAACCAACCAGAGUCUUCUUCUUUCUCCUUCAUGUAAUACUGGACCACGUUCAAACACCUUUGGAAAAUCCCAGGUCCUACAAGCUCCCCUGCCAAUACUUGUCGUGUCUGUCGUGGUUCAGUUAUCCUCAUCGGAGUCACUGUCUGAAUAGCUUCAAUGGAUAGUUUAGGGAGAAAGGUAGUGGUGUGGUUGGCCAUCUUUGAGUUUUUUAGCUGAACUCUUUCAACUGAACGGGUGUCUAAUUCCCUUGGUUAUAUACAGAUAGAAACACGUCCACCUCAAAAUGUUGGAUCAAAAGAAAUUAACUGGUUUUUAAAAGUACAAAAAUGUCAUUGCCGUGAUUGAUUAAAACCAACCAUUAUGAUUUAGUAGUUUAAUUGAUCCCAAAAAGGAAUGCGCAGAUGUUAAACUUUGGGUGUUGAAUGAGAGGGUGGACCCAUAGAUGAGGAACGACCGCAAGGAAGGAAUUACCGGACAAUAAAAUGGGGCGGCAUUUGAAAUAGAUGGAUGGGGUUGGUGGCUUCAUUUACUAAGUGUGGGAAAGUUGAUCUAAAAAACACCCAACGCCCAGAUCUCCUUAAUUAAUUAGAUAGCAUGUAAACAUCACUCUCGUCUAAUUGUAAGCACCAACUGGCUCUACUGGUUCCGCUACCCCUACGCAAUUAAUGUAGUGGCAAGUUACGCUUCUCACGCUUUCAUUAUUGUUUGUCUUUGUUUUUGUUGGCUGGUGAUUCAAUCUCACGUGGACUUGUUUUAAUAAUAACUAGGGUAAAUUGCACCAACAGUCACCCAACUUUGGGGUAACUAACAAAACAGUCAUCUAGGUUUUAUUUUAGUCACUUAACUUUCAAAAAGUAAUAAAACGGUCCUUUUUACCGUUUUUCGUCACAGAGUCACAGACGUCACAGUAAAGUGACGUGGCAGGUGACAGAGUCCUUGCUGUCAACCUUAAGUCUAGCUGGCCGGUUACUAACACUUUAACAAUAGUACCAGCACCAUUUUAGGGUUUGAAAAAAAGAAAAAGAAGAAGAAGAAGAGAAGAAGGAAGAGAAGAAGAAGGAGAAGAGGAAAAAUGGAUAUACCUGAAGUGAUUCCAGUGUGCUAUUGUGGAAACCCAGCCAAAUUAAACACGUCUUGGUCUAAUGACAACCCAGGUAGGAGGUUUUUUGGGCGUAAGAAAUUCAGCAGUGGAUUUCGAAAACCAUGUCGGUUUUUCAGCUGGUUUGAUCCACCAUUGACGCCCCGUUUAAGAGUUGUGUUGUUGGGUCUGCUGAAAAAAGUGAAGACAUUAGAGGAUGCAAGGAAGAGGGAGAGAAGAACCUGGUUUUUGGUGCUUGUAAUUGUUACUGUUUUGCUAUUUUCAGAACCUUAAAAAUCAUUUUAUGUUAAUUGAAAACCAGCUUAUGUUUUGUAAUUUUGUUGCUGGUAAAUUGUUGCUUAUGUUGGUAUAGAUGGCUGUUGUUAUACAUGGCUAACCAUCUCAUGUUGUUUACAAACACUUGAAUGAAAUGGAAAAUUUUUGUUGAUUACAAAUUGUGUUGGAAUAUUUUUGUUGCUUAACAUGUGUUAAAAAUGUUUGCUGGUAUACAUAGCUAACCAGCUCAUGUUGUUGUUUACAAAUUGCUUAACACUUGGUAUACAUGGCUGCUGGUUAGAAAAGAUAACAAUUGAUAUACAAAUUGCUGAACAGUUGGUAUACAUGGCUGCUAGUUAGAAAAGAUAACAGUUGGUAUACAAAUUGCUUAACAGUUGGAUAACAAAUAGCAUGGAUAAAUUGCUCAUAUAUUAAAGCCAAAAUGCCAAACUGUUUACAAAAGGAAUAAGGGGCAAAAUAUUGCCAAAUUUUCCUACAAUUCAUUACAAUUGAACAGAUGUGAAUUGUAGGGAAAUUUACAAAAAAAUUCAGUGACUAUGCCUAAGUUUAUCAACAGUAGCAAUCAUAGGCAAAUUUCCAAAAAAAAUUAUCUAAUCAGUAGCAGGCAAAUUUACACAGUUUUAAAAGGUUAACAAAAUGUAGUCUGUUCACAUCAUCAUCAAUGGUCUGUCAUGGAUGACUCUUGAGUAGAAGGCAUCCAUCUAACAGUGGACAGUGGUUGUGGUUGAUUUUCUCUUUAAUGGGUGCUUUUGUCUUAGGGCAGCUUCUUGAUAGUUGGGACAGUAGGUAACUGAGUUGGGGCACCUUGUUGAGUUGGGGUACCCUCUUGCUAACUUGGGGUAGCCUGUUGCUAGGUUCGGACAUCAACUCGAUGUCUUUGAACCUACAAGAAUAAAAGAAAUGUGAAAAACAAACAAAUUCAUAGAUAGAAGUAUACUAUAAGUUAAGGCAAAUUACUUACUGGAAUGUUUUGGCCAACUUCCCCUUUGCAACUCCUCUUAUUGUGGCCUAUUAUUUUGCAUUUACUGCACCUCAUCUCCACUCCUCUCUUGCUAAACCUUUCUGUUGUUUGUGGUUUAUCAGGUUCUUUCGUUCUCACUUUAGUAGGACUGCCAGGUGGCCUUCUUAAUGGAAUAGGUAGUAUUGGUAGCAUGUUUGACAAAGAGGCCCAUUGUUUAGGACCCUUUACUGGACUUACCAAGUUGGAGUAAAUUUGAAGCUGGGUUUGCUUGGUGUACCAGGUUUGUACAUAGGUCUCUAGGAACUCAUUUUUUAUAUGAAUGACAGCUAAUGAAUACAUGCAAGGGAUGCCAGUGAGAUCCUAAUUCCUGUAGGAGCAGGAACUCUGAACUAAGUCCACCACAUGCUGGCUGCCUGGACCACAUUCAACCUGAUACUUGUCCCCACCAGCAUGUGAUGGAACACACCUAAAAAACAGUGAGCAUGCUUGGUUAAAACAUACAAUGACACACCCCCCUUAAAAAAGCAGUCACUACAUGCAUAUUAUAAAAAAAACUCAUUGCAUGCAUAUUAAAAAAUAGGCAACACAUUAACAAUUAUUACAUGCAUAUUAAAAAAUAGUCAACAACUUUCCAACAAUUAUUGCAUGCAUAUUACAAAAUAGUCAACAACUUUCCAACAAUCAUUACAUACAUAUUAAAAAAA